CAGCGCCUGUGAUCAUAACACUCAGCUGAUGCAGCCAUGUCCUCAUCUCUCACAAGCACUCCACCUUUGCCAAGCUGGUGAACAGCAUCAAUUGGUCAGCCUGAAACCUGUUGGUCUUCCAGCACAGUAGUAAGCUGAAUGGAAAUAUUUGUGCUAAUUGGACCAAUGGUGCCAUCUUCAGCCGGAAGUGGAAUUACAUCAAUCAGAGCCAGACUGCAUCCUCUGAGGGAAUGGAAUCUCUCAACUUUUGCAGCCUACAAGACAGGAGGCGCUGUCUCGAGACGGCAGCAUCCAUCGUCAAAGAUCUCGACCACACAGAUUACUCUAUGCCAUCUUUCCACGGCUACCAUCCGGCAGAAGGCAGUGAAGCCCGAGUCCCGUAGUGCCAAUCCUGC